CCCGCACAAGCGGUGGAGCAUGUGGUUUAAUUCGAUGAUACGCGAGGAACCUUACCUGGGCUCAAAUGUAUGUUGACGUAUUCUGAAAGGGAUACUUCUUCGGACAAUAUACAAGGUGCUGCAUGGUUGUCGUCAGCUCGUGCCGUGAGGUGUCGGGUUAAGUCCCAUAACGAGCGCAACCCCUAUCAUUAGUUGCCAUCAGGUCAAGCUGGGGACUCUAAUGAAACUGCCUACGCAAGUAGUGAGGAAGGUGGGGAUGACGUCAAAUCAGCACGGCCCUUACGUCCAGGGCUACACACGUGCUACAAUGGCCGGUACAAAGGGCAGCUACCUGGUGACAGGAUGCUAAUCUCAAAAGCCGGUCUCAGUUCGGAUUGCAGGCUGAAACUCGCCUACAUGAAGUUGGAGUUGCUAGUAAUCGCGAAUCAGAAUGUCGCGGUGAAUGCGUUCCCGGGUCUU
rnacentral:rRNA from 1 species